rnacentral:rRNA from 1 species
AACGAACGCUGGCGGCGUGGAUAAGACAUGCAAGUCGAACGGGGUUACUUCUGUAGCAAUACAGGAGUAAUUCAGUGGCGAACGGGUGCGUAACACGUGGGCAAUCUGCCGAGAAGUGGGGGAUAGCUCGCCGAAAGGCGAACUUAAUACCGCAUGUGAUCAGGGAAGACAUCUUUCCGACAUCAAAGCCGGGGCAACCUGGCGCUUUUGNGGAGCCCGCGGCCUANCAGCUAGUUGGUGGGGUAACGGCCUACCAAGGCUUUGACGGGUAGCUGGUCUGAGAGGACGA